rnacentral:rRNA from 1 species
UACGGAGGGUGCAAGCGUUGCUCGGAAUUAUUGGGCGUAAAGCGCACGCAGGUGGCAGGAUAAGUCAGUUGUGAAAUUCCCGGGCUUAACUUGGGGGCUGCAUCUGAUACUGUCUUGCUUGAGUACGGAAGAGGGGAGCGGAAUUCCCAGUGUAGAGGUGAAAUUCGUAGAUAUUGGGAGGAACACCGGUGGCGAAGGCGGCUCCCUGGUCCGAUACUGACGCUCAUGUGCGAAAGCGUGGGGAGCAAACAGG